AAGUUAAGGAGUUUAUUAAUUUUUAGUCAUAACACAAACUGAUUGCGGCACAAACCCUUAGAGGAGAGAACGACAAGAUCUAUCGCAGAUUGGAAGGGUUCGGAGGCAUUGAGGAAAGAAAAGGUAUUGGAGAAGUAGCUUUUCCACUUCGGUUCUUCGGUGGAGCAAGUGUACCAUCGACUUCGACUCGCCCUCAGCUCUAACCAAUUUUCAGCGCAUCAGAUUUCAGGGUGAGCUAUUCCUUCUAGCUCGUGCUGGAUUCUCUCAGUCAUGGCAUGAUGUCCUUAAACC